UUGUCCGGAUUUACUGGGUGUAAAGGGUGCGUAGGCGGCUUUGCAAGUCAGAUGUGAAAUCUAUGGGCUCAACCCAUAAACUGCAUUUGAAACUGUAGAGCUUGAGUGAAGUAGAGGCAGGCGGAAUUCCCCGUGUAGCGGUGAAAUGCGUAGAGAUGGGGAGGAACACCAGUGGCGAAGGCGGCCUGCUGGGCUUUAACUGACGCUGAGGCACGAAAGCGUGGGUAGCAAACAGGAUUAGAUACCCUGGUAGUCCACCGCUGUAAACGAUGAUUACCUAGGUGUGGGGGG
rnacentral:rRNA from 1 species